CUAGGGACACAGCUCUUAGACUUUGAGCUAGACAACCAGGAGGACAGGAGGACCUAGUAUCCUGCCUCCAUCAGCCCAUCAUUUAUGCAAAUGCUACUUAGUUGCCGUCUAGAUGCAGGAUGCUGUCUGCCCUGUUAAAUGCUGUGUGAACCCAGAUGGAAGCUGAGCAGACAUCACACUCGUGAGCAGCUCCCCUUCCUGUGAGCAUCUCCCCUUCCUGUGAGCAUCUCCCCUUCCUAUGCUGAGAUUAAAGGCAUGUGCCAUCACCACCUGAACAACAGCAGCUUUCUAAGGAACCAGUAAGGCACUACAGACUUUUCAUAUAACAUCACCUUCAUUCUCUCACAACUAAUUCUACAAAACAGAUGUUAUACGACCUCGUUCGCUGAAGUCAAAGAUGCAGAGGGGCCAAGGUGUGGGCUCCGGACCUCACACCAGUGUGGCAGAUUCAACAAGCCCAGAAUAAGCCUCUUCCUUUGCUCACAAUAAGAUUUAUUAUAGAAGCAACAACUUCUGCAUACCAGAGGUGAGAGAUG
rnacentral:lncRNA from 1 species